rnacentral:lncRNA from 1 species
UGCACAUCUAGAAGAUGCGUCUACCCUGUGCUCUUGUGACUCUCUCUCCUUCCAUUUGUCAUCUUUCUCAUUAAAGAAGAGCUUACUUGUUAGCUGCUUUGCCAACUCCAAGAUUUAUAGGAGCUGAAGAGAGUAUUUCAGGCAGGGAAGAGAAGGACUGCACUGACCACAAACUCCCGGAACUCUUCAAGAAGUAAAUGUAUUAAAGGUAUCAGAAGAGAAGGACAGAUUUCAUUAUGGCAAUCCAGAAGACAAGAACGAGGAAAAGCCAAUUAGAAGACCAGCCUUUCCUGAGCAUCUCUGCCAGAUGUUCUACAUUGCAUGGCAAAGAGCCAAGUCUAAGUUGGUCUCACAGCUACCUGGAGUAACUGAAGGUUUACUUACAAUUCAUGACUACUUACUUCAAGACUGAACAACUUAAUUGUGGAUAUGCUUUUUUAUUUCUGCUUUUUUAUCUGUUCUUCUAUUCUUAUGACUGUUAAAUGCUGGGUAAAGCUCAUUUCAAGCAUUAUG